GACGAACGCUGGCGGCGUGCUUAACACAUGCAAGUCGAACGGAAAGGCCCUGCUUUUGUGGGGUGCUCGAGUGGCGAACGGGUGAGUAACACGUGAGUAACCUGCCCUUGACUUUGGGAUAACUUCAGGAAACUGGGGCUAAUACCGGAUAGGAGCUCCUGCUGCAUGGUGGGGGUUGGAAAGUUUCGGCGGUUGGGGAUGGACUCGCGGCUUAUCAGCUUGUUGGUGGGGUAGUGGCUUACCAAGGCUUUGACGGGUAGCCGGCCUGAGAGGGUGACCGGGCACAGUGGGAGUGAGAUACGGCCCAGACUCCUACGGGAGGCAGCAGUGGGGAAUAUUGCACAAUGGGCGGAAGCCUGAUGCAGCAACGCCGCGUGCGGGAUGACGGCCUUCGGGUUGUAAACCGCUUUCGCCUGUGACGAAGCGUGAGUGACGGUAAUGGGUAAAGAAGCAACGGCUAACUACGUG
rnacentral:rRNA from 1 species